rnacentral:rRNA from 1 species
CGUGUAGGCGGCUUGGUAAGUCAGAUGUGAAAGCCCUGGGCUCAACCCAGGAAGUGUAUUUGAAACUACUAGACUUGAGUACGGGAGAGGAGGGGGGAAUUCCCGGUGUAGAGGUGAAAUUCGUAGAUAUCGGGAGGAAUACCGGUGGCGAAGGCGCCCCUCUGGACCGAUACUGACGCUGAGACGCGAAAGCGUGGGGAGCAAACA